rnacentral:tRNA from 1 species
GCCCUAGUGCUUCAAUGGUUAAGCAUUCGACUGCUAACUGAAAGACUGGUGGUUUGAACCCACCCAGGGGCU